GAGUUUGAUCCUGGCUCAGAUUGAACGCUGGCGGCAGGCCUAACACAUGCAAGUCGGGCGGUAGAGAGAAGCUUGCUUCUCUUGAGAGCGGCGGACGGGUGAGUAAUGCCUAGGAAUCUGCCUGAUAGUGGGGGAUAACGCUCGGAAACGGACGCUAAUACCGCAUACGUCCUACGGGAGAAAGCAGGGGACCUUCGGGCCUUGCGCUAUCAGAUGAGCCUAGGUCGGAUUAGCUAGUUGGUGAGGUAAUGGCUCACCAAGGCGACGAUCCGUAACUGGUCUGAGAGGAUGAUCAGUCACACUGGAACUGAGACACGGUCCAGACUCCUACGGGAGGCAGCAGUGGGGAAUAUUGGACAAUGGGCGAAAGCCUGAUCCAGCCAUGCCGCGUGUGUGAAGAAGGUCUUCGGAUUGUAAAGCACUUUAAGUUGGGAGGAAGGGCAGUAAAUUAAUACUUUGCUGUUUUGACGUUACCGACAGAAUAAGCACCGGCUAACUCUGUGCCAGCA
rnacentral:rRNA from 1 species